ACCAUCUAAAAAUAAAUUUUAAUGAGGAUGCAAUAUAAAUGUAGGUUUCUUUUAAGAAUAUUGAGCCAACACGGAAGGAGAUUUCAUGCUUUCGCAUACCCAAGAAGGUUGGUCCUGUAGGUGUAAGUCACAAAGAGGCUAACAUUAAUUCGGAUGAUGAUUUUCAGGAUCCGCCACAUCCAAAAAAUUAUUCAAUUACCUAAAAAAAACAUCAUGGUAAUUCAUCAUCUUCACCUGUCAAGAAAAAUUUGAAGCGACAAUAUAAAGGUUUGGAUGAGCAGACACCAAAAAGGACCCCUCCACCUCGUGCUGCAAAGAAGCUUUCUGUCAGGACUCCAGUUUUUAUGCCGAUUCAACAAAACGAGAAAGCAUCUUCAAAGAAGAAGGACCUAAACAGAUCAGCAAGCAAGAAAUCUAAUCCGAUUUAGUCACCUAAUUCGUCUUUCUGCAGUUCUAGAGAUGAAGAUGAUUUUGUUUCAAAGAAAGUGUUUCACAAGUUUCGCAAUGAGGUUCUUCAAGAGAUGAAAUCCAUCCGUGGCCUAGUAUCAACAAGGUGUGAUGCGAUAAUGAAUGCUAUAAGUGAGAUCAAGAAAAAAGACAAGGACAAUGAAGUUGACAAUCCACCAAUGGGUGAAGCUGUCGAGACUACAUCACACCAUGAAUUCAGUCCAAAUUUUGUGCAUGAUCUAUAUAAGAAUU